rnacentral:rRNA from 1 species
GAUGAACGCUGGCGGCGUGCCUAAUACAUGCAAGUCGAGCGAACAGACGAGGAGCUUGCUCCUCUGACGUUAGCGGCGGACGGGUGAGUAACACGUGGAUAACCUACCUAUAAGACUGGGAUAACUUCGGGAAACCGGAGCUAAUACCGGAUAAUAUAUUGAACCGCAUGGUUCAAUAGUGAAAGACGGUUUUGCUGUCACUUAUAGAUGGUUCCGCGCCGCAUUAGCUAGUUGGUAAGGUAAAGGCUUACCAAGGCAACGAUGCGUAGCCGACCUGAGAGGGUGAUCGGCCACACUGGAACUGAGACACGGUCCAGACUCCUACGGGAGGCAGCAGUAGGGAAUCUUCCGCAAUGGGCGAAAGCCUGACGGAGCAACGCCGCGUGAGUGAUGAAGGUCUUCGGAUCGUAAAACUCUGUUAUUAGGGAAGAACAAAUGUGUAAGUAACUAUGCACGUCUUGACGGUACCUAAUCAGAAAGCCACGGCUAACUACGUG